AGGGUUCGAUCAUGGCUCAGAACGUACGCUGGCGGCACGCCUAACACAUGCAAGUCGAACGGAGUAGCAAUACUUAGUGGCAGACGGGUGAGUAACAUGUAGGUAUCUGCCCUUUGGCCUGGAAUAACACGAGGAAACUUGUGCUAAUACCGGAUAAGUCUUUACGGAGAAAGCUUUAUGCACCAUUGGAUGAGCCUGCACUUGAUUAGUUUGUUGGUGGGGUAAUGGCCUACCAAGACUUUGAUCAAUAGCUGAUUUGAGAGGAUGAUCAGCCACAUUGGGACUGAGACACGGCCCAAACUCCUACGGGAGGCAGCAGUGGGGAAUCUUGCACAAUGGAGGAAACUCUGAUGCAGCGAUGCCGCGUGAGUGAAGAAGGCCCUUGGGUUGUAAAGCUCUUUCGUCGGGGAAGAAAAUGACUGUACCCGAAUAAGAAGGUCCGGCUAACUUCGUGCCAGCAGCCGCGGUAAUACGAAGGGACCUAGCGUAGUUCGGAAUUACUGGGCUUAAAGAGUUCGUAGGUGGUUGAAAAAGUUGGUGGUGAAAUCCCAGAGCUUAACUCUGGAACUGCCAUCAAAACUUUUCAGCUAGAGUUUGAUAGAGGAAAGUAGAAUUUCUAGUGUAGAGGUGAAAUUCGUAGAUAUUAGAAAGAAUACCAAUUGCGAAGGCAGCUUUCUGGAUCAUUACUGACACUGAGGAACGAAAGCAUGGGUAGCGAAGAGGAUUAGAUACCCUCGUAGUCCAUGCCGUAAACGAUGUGUGUUAGACGUUGGAAAUUUAUUUUCAGUGUCGCAGCGAAAGCAAUAAACACACCGCCUGGGGAGUACGACCGCAAGGUUAAAACUCAAAUGAAUUGACGGGGACCCGCACAAGUAGUGGAGCAUGUGGUUUAAUUCGAAGAUACGCGCAGAACCUUACCAACACUUGACAUGUUCGUCGCGACUCUAAGAGAUUAGAGUUUUCGGUUCGGCCGGACGAAACACAGGUGCUGCAUGGCUGUCGUCAGCUCGUGUCGUGAGAUGUUGGGUUAAGUCCCGCAACGAGCGCAACCCUCACUUUUAGUUGCCAUCAUUUAGUUGGGCACUCUGAAAGAACUGCCAGUGAUAAGCUGGAGGAAGGUGGGGAUGACGUCAAGUCCUCAUGGCCCUUACGUGUUGGGCUACACACGUGCUACAAUGGUAUCUACAACAGGAAGCAAGACGGCGACGUUAAGCAAAUCCUUAAAAGAUACCUCAGUUCGGAUUGCACUCUGCAACUCGAGUGCAUGAAGCUGGAAUUACUAGUAAUCGUGGAUCAGCGUGCCACGGUGAAUGCGUUCCCGGGUCUUGUACACACCGCCCGUCACACCAUGGGAGUUGGUUCUACCUUAAGGCAAGGUUUAAAACCCUUGACCACGGUAUAGUCAGCGACUGGGGUGAAGUCGUAACAAGGUAGCC
rnacentral:rRNA from 1 species